GAAUGCUGCAGCUCUUUUAGAAUUUGUCUAGCAGGAUUUCUGGCUAUGGCAGGAGGCUCACCCCA
rfam:Ictidomys tridecemlineatus contig016433, whole genome shotgun sequence.